AGUGAACGCUGGCGGUAGGCCUAACACAUGCAAGUCGAACGGCAGCACAGUAAGAGCUUGCUCUUACGGGUGGCGAGUGGCGGACGGGUGAGGAAUACAUCGGAAUCUACUUUUUCGUGGGGGAUAACGUAGGGAAACUUACGCUAAUACCGCAUACGACCUACGGGUGAAAGCAGGGGAUCUUCGGACCUUGCGCGAUUGAAUGAGCCGAUGUCGGAUUAGCUAGUUUGCGGGGUAAAGGCCCACCAAGGCGACGAUCCGUAGCUGGUCUGAGAGGAUGAUCAGCCACACUGGAACUGAGACACGGUCCAGACUCCUACGGGAGGCAGCAGUGGGGAAUAUUGGACAAUGGGCGCAAGCCUGAUCCAGCCAUACCGCGUGAGUGAAGAAGGCCUUCGGGUUGUAAAGCCCUUUUGUUGGGAAAGAAAAGCAGCAGGUUAAUACCCCGCUGUUCUGACGGUACCCAAAGAAUAAGCACCGGCUAACUUCGUG
rnacentral:rRNA from 1 species